UCCUCCUCCUCCUUUCUCCCCAUCACGCACAAAAAGAAUGGGGCCUUGAAAGGGAUGAGUUUAUUAUGCGCUUUUAAAUGACUAUUCAGGAAAGAACAGGAGGCAAAAUAAAAAUGCUUCCCACCCCACCAAUUCCCUUCCCUUGAAGCAAAGAAAGAAAGGGAAAGCAACUCACAAAGGAGAGGAGUGGUUUUGCUCCAUCAUUCAUUCCUGCCAUGAUACUCUAUCUUUCCAUAGGCCCAAAGCAAGAGCUGGUUAAUAAUGGACUGGAUUCUCCAAAACUGGACUCAAGAUGUGACAGUUGAACCAACGCCUCACCAUAAAAUGCAAGGGAAGUGACAGAAAGAGUGACAGACAAAUUAAAGACACUCCAAAGAUUUGAAGUCAAGAAACAACCCUCAAGGUGUAAACAACAAGUGAUUACUCAUAGGUGGUAUAAUCAAAAGAUGAGUGCUAAAGUCCAGGCCAGGACUGAGUUGUCAUCCAGAGAGAGAUCAGCCCAAGCCUGUCCAAACAUUCAUUAUAAACAUGGUUCAGAAUGUUUUCUAUGGAUUUGGUCCAGAUUUUUGCCAUAUCCAUAUCUCAAAAAGUUGAUCCAUUCCAGUGCUAUAAACUUUCAAAUAAUAAAAAUGAUUUGAUCAUAAGGGGAAAAGGGGGAAAGAAAACAUUCACAGACUCAGAGGAAGGUCUGAGCAAAUAAGGACAAGUGGUUCACAGGAGAAUUUAUACAUCACAAACUGAAUUUCAACAAGUUAUUUAGGAUAAUUUCUAGUGAAUGAUGAAGUUGGAAUUUUACCAUGUAUAGGGUCAAAGUGUCAUGGAUAUUGGUCCCGUCACUAUUUCAGUGUUAUUGCUGGUCCUUCAUUCGAGAUCAUGAAAUGAUUACCUUGUAAACUAUAAAAUGAAAUGCACGCCCUCAAAUUUCUGUUGUUUUUGAAGUGUUGAGUAGAGGAUGUUACUGGUACUGUUAAUGUUAACUAUGUUUGAUCAUAUUGUUAUUAUGCUGAUUAACAACUUGCAGCUAGUCCUCCACCUCCAUGUUUUUCUCACUUGCAAAACAAUAAAAACACACAGCCAUUUCAA